rnacentral:lncRNA from 1 species
UGGAAAAGAACCUGUUUAUUCAACAAACAAAGCACUCCCCAGCACCAAAACAAUUAACAACACUAGAUGACAACAAAACUCUUUCACCCCUCUGAAGAGAUGAACAAAUCCAGAAGGUCUUUCCUGGGAGUGGUUGCCCGGGUCUGGACGCUGGGGAUUGCUCUCCAGCACUGGGGAUGGCUGCUGCAGAUCACCAAAUGCAGGCUCCUGGUGUUCCUUGGUGUUUCCCAGAUCCCAGUCCAGAGCAGGUGGGAUGAUAUUCAGAAAGAGGAAAGGAAAAAGCAACAGUCCAGGGAAAGAAUUGGACUGCUUAGCUAACCUAACUAGGAAGCAAAGCAAGAAAGCAGGCAAAGCAAGCAAGCAAGCAAAGCAAAAGCCAGCCAGCCAGCCCUAGCCUUUUCUAGACAGCAGACCAUGGGGGGAGGUGAACCAGAUGAUAACACGGCAAAACAAACCUUCACUUUCAGAGUCAGUUCUGAAAGCACAGAACAUAAUAUCAAACGUAAACAGAACACACGAUUGGAGAUACAAACACCAUAACAGUCACCCUAGGACAUUCCACCCCUUAUCUCCAUAUCUUCAACAUCAUGUAAAAACUCCAUCAAGUUAAAACUUGUAUCUUUCACUUACUCAUACCUUCGACACUUACACAUUUCCUUCUAUUUCACUUGCUCAAACCUUUGACACUUACACAUUUCCUUCUUUCUCAUGUCUGUGUGUUUUCAUGCACAGACAUUGGCAGUAACAUCCAGCAAACAGUGAUAUUUGCACAAUAGUUUCACCCCACAAUCAGAUCUCCCUGAGGUACACAUCGUGUUGUUCCAUCUCUCUGCAUUAUCCACCAUGUACAACCUGGUCCCUGAGCAAAGACAAUCCCACGAAUGGGUUUGUCUGUACUCGAGGCAGGAUUGAUCCACACUGAUUUCCCUAACAAACCUCUGACAUGUGCCACUGGGACUUUAUCUCCGUCUACUAUAUUCAGGGGCUCAGACUGGGCAGGACCUGCUCGAUUGGUGGAACUUCGGCUGUUAACUAACCAGGUGGCCUUUGCUAAAUGUUGCUCCCAAUUUUUGAAAGAUCCCCCACCCAAUGCUUUUAAGGUGGUUUUUAACAGUCCAUUGUACCUCUCCACUUUGCCUGCAGCUGGUGCAUGGUAGGGGAUGUGGUACACCCACUCAAUGCCAUGUUCCCUAGCCCAGGUGUUGAUAAGGCAGUUCUUGAAAUGAGUCCCAUUGUCUGACUCAAUCCUCUCAGGGGUACCAUGCCUCCAAAGGACCUGCUUUUCAAGGCCCAGGAUGGUGUUACGGGCUGUAGCAUGAGACACAGGGUAGGUUUCCAACCAUCCAGUGGUGGCUUCUACCAUUGUGAGCACGUAGCGCUUGCCUUGGCGUGUCUGGGGCAGUGUGAUGUAGUCAAUCUGCCAGGCCUCCCCAUAC